AGGAGUGUAGCUCAACUGGUAGAGCGCCGGUCUCCAAAACCGGAGGUUGCGGGUUCGAGCCCCUCCACUCCUGCCA
rnacentral:tRNA from 1 species